rnacentral:rRNA from 1 species
GACGUAGGGCGCGAGCGUUGUCCGGAUUUAUUGGGCGUAAAGAGCUCGUAGGCGGCUCGUUGCGUCGGCUGUGAAAACCCGCGGCUCAACCGUGGGCUUGCAGCUGAUACGGGCGGGCUGGAGUUCGGUAGGGGAGACUGGAAUUCCUGGUGUAGCGGUGAAAUGCGCAGAUAUCAGGAGGAACACCGGUGGCGAAGGCGGGUCUCUGGGCCGAUACUGACGCUGAGGAGCGAAAGCGUGGGGAGCGAACAGG